rnacentral:rRNA from 1 species
GAUGAACGCUAGCGGCAGGCUUAAUACAUGCAAGUCGUGGGGCAGCAGGACUGUAGCAAUACACUUGCUGGCGCCCGGCACACGUGUGCGGCACACGUACGCAACUUACCCUGAACUGGGGGAUCGCCCGGGGAAACCCGGAUUAAUACCCCGUAAUAUAAUGGCGUGUCAUCCCUUUAUUAUUAACGCUCCGGCGGUUCGGUAUGGGCGUGCGGCUGAUUAGGUAGUUGGUUGAGGUAACGGCUCACCAAGCCUACGAUCAGUAACUGGUGUGAGAGCACGACCAGUCAGACGGGAACUGAGACACGGGCCCGACUCGUACGGGAGGCAGCAGUAAGGAAUACUGGGCAAUGGAGGCAACUCUGACCAAGCCAUGCCGCGUGGAGGAUGAAGGCGAUCUGGGUUGUAAACUUCUUGGAAAGGGGACGAAACCUGUGUAUUCUUACGGAGUUGACGGUACCCAAGGAAUAAGCACCGGCUAACUACGUG